rnacentral:lncRNA from 1 species
AAACAGGACCUUGCCCUGUCACUCAGGAUGGAGUUCAGUGGUCCAAUCAUGGCUCAUUGUAGCCUCAAACUCCCAGGCUCAAGCAGUCCUACCAUGUCAGCCUUCCCAGUAGCUGGGACUACAGGUCUCGCACUGUCACCCAGGCUGGAGUACAGUGGCACAACCUCUGCUCACUGCAGCCUCCACCUGCCAGGCUCAAGCAAUUCUCCUGCCUCAGCCUCCCGAGUAGCUGGGAUUACAGGAAGUGACUUCACAAUGACUCAAGCUACCAUAUACUGUUGAUUGUGAAAUGCCAGUUGAAGCAUAUGUCCUGUGAGCUUAGGGGUGCUACAGGUUGACCACUGCAGCAGUAAAGAUGACUCUGAAGAAUGGCAUGGGAUGGAUCCUUUCGAAUGCACUUGAGCAGCGGUCUCCAACCACAGGGCCACAGAGCUGGAGGUGAGCAGCAGCUGGAUCUACCAUGAACGACUUCUGAAUCCAGGAAGAGAGACUGACUGGGCAACAUGUUAUUCAGGGUCUCCCUCUGUUGUCCAAGGCUGGAGUGUAGUAGUGCUAUCACAGCUGACUGCAGCCUCAACCUUCCAGGCUGAAGCGAUCCUCCCAUCUCAACCUCCCACGUGGCUGAGACUAUAGGUGCUUGCCACUAUGCCCAACUAAUAUUUGGAAUUUUCCUAUACGUGGAUUCCAGAGGGGUGACAGUGAAAC